rnacentral:lncRNA from 1 species
GAAUAUGUAUAAUAAUGUCUCAAAUGAGCAUAACAUUUUUAAAAACAUGACACAAAACACAAUAAAAGAGCUGAACAACUUUACCUCACAAUAUUGUGAAGACCUAAAGCAGAAAGAAAAUGAUGUUGGAUUUAGCUCAUGCCCGGAGUCAUGGAUGUGUAAUGGAAAUACAAACAAAUGUCAUGCCCAGAUGAAUAUGGACAAGAAUAUAAGUUACAACUCAACCCAGCUGUUCUUCAGAUGUCUUACAUCACCUAUCUCCUGGAUGAAUCUGAAUUGCACUCUCAAGAAGGCAAAUCAGGCAGCAGGAAGUGUUCUAAAACUUUGCAUUGUGACUUGUUUGACACCCUAAUAAAGAUUUCAAGUGUUGAAACCAGUGAAGCAUGC